UACGGAGGGGGCUAGCGUUGUUCGGAAUUACUGGGCGUAAAGCGUGCGCAGGCGGCGCGUUAAGACAGGUGUGAAAGCCCCGAGCUUAACUUGGGAAUUGCGCUUGUGACUGGCGAGCUGGAGUGUGGCAGAGGGAGGUGGAAUUCCACGUGUAGCAGUGAAAUGCGUAGAGAUGUGGAGGAACACCGAUGGCGAAGGCAGCCUCCUGGGCCAGCACUGACGCUCAUGCACGAAAGCGUGGGGAGCAAACAGG
rnacentral:rRNA from 1 species